UACGUAGGUGGCAAGCGUUGUCCGGAUUUACUGGGCGUAAAGAGCGCGCAGGCGGUCGUUCAAGUCGCGUGUGAAAGCCCCCGGCUCAACUGGGGAGGGUCACGCGAUACUGAUCGACUCGAAGGCAGGAGAGGGUAGUGGAAUUCCCGGUGUAGUGGUGAAAUGCGUAGAUAUCGGGAGAACACCAGUGGCGAAGGCGAGCUUCCUGGCCUGUUCUUGACGCUGAGGCGCGAAAGCUAGGGUAGCAAACGGG
rnacentral:rRNA from 1 species